rnacentral:rRNA from 1 species
AGGACGAACGCUGGCGGCAUGCCUAACACAUGCAAGUCGAACGGAGUAAUGACUUCGGUAUACUAGUGGCGAACGGGUGAGUAACACGUGAAUAAUCUGCCCUGUACGAUGGGAUAACAGCUGGAAACGGCUGCUAAUACCGUAUAUGACCACGCCGAGGCAUCUCGGAGGGGUGAAAGCGCUUAAGCGGUACAGGAUGAGUUCGCGUCCAAUUAGCUAGUUGGUGAGGUAACGGCCCACCCAAGGCGACGAUUGGUAGCCGACCCGAGAGGGUGAUCGGCCACACUGGAACUGAGACACGGUCCAGACUCCUACGGGAGGCAGCAGUGGGGAAUAUUGGGCAAUGGAGGAAACUCUUUAACCCCCAGCAAUGCCGCGUGAGUGAUGAAGGUCUUCGGAUUGUAAAGCUCUUUGAUUGGGGACGAAUAAAUGACGGUACCCAAGGAACAAGCCCCGGCUAACUAUGUGCCAGCCGCUGC